AUCAUGGGGCGUUCCUGGAGGGUCGCCUAGACGACCCAGCCCAACCCCACCCACAGUGCCUGGCAACCUAGACCAGUCAGGGACGCGGCAGGAAAUGGAAGAGCCUCCGCAAGAGGCUCUGGCUGAACCCUUGAAACAUGAAAGCCCAGGCGCUCCCUCAAGUGCUGGCCACACUAAGGGCCAGGAAGAAGACGACCAGAAGAACCAGGCCGAAAGGAAGGCAGAUAACCACACUGCUCACAGAAUAGCUGACCAGACUGCCCUAAGAGUGCCUAGCCAGGCUGAAUCCAGCAUAUUUAGCCAAGCUACCAACGGAGUAGCUGAACAAAAUGGGCAUAGUACACCUGGUCAGGCUGGCCGCAGAGCAUCCAACCCUGCUGAUGUUUCUGACCUUAGAGCAGAUGAUCAGGUUAACCAAACACCGUCUGAACAGACUAAAGGCAAGGCAUCUAGCCAAGCUAAUAAUGUACAGCAUGAACAGAGUGAUGGUCAGGUGUCUGGCCUGACGGAGGAAAGAACUGCUGAACAGACUGAACGAAGAUUACCUAGCCAGGCUGAGAGAAGAACUUCUGGGCAGAUUGAUGGUAGACUGGCUAUGCCAUCUGACCAGAGAGGUUCCAGACAGACCGACCACAGAAUGGCAGGCCAGUCUGAGAGAAGAGCUUCUGAGCAGACGGAUCGCAGAAUGUCUGGCGAGGCUGAGCGAAGAAAUUCUGAGCAGAUUACACACAGAUUAUCCAAACUAUCUGAGAGAAGACCUUCUGUGCAGAUUGACAGUGGGUCAUCCGUCCCAUCUGACCGAAGUCCUUCUGUACAGAUUGACAGUGGAUCGUCCGUACCAUCUGACCAAAGACCUUCCAUACAGAUUGACCGCAGAAUGUCAGGGAAAGUUAGGAGAAGAAGUUCUGAGAAGACUGACUACAGAUUGGCUGGCCUGGCUGACCCAGGAACUUCUGAGCAGACUGACCUCAGAUUGUAUGGCCUCGUUGACCACAAAACAUCUGUAAAGACUCACCACCAAGUGUACGGCCAAGCCACUGAACUAGCUGAACACCAGGCUAUUGACCAAGCUCAUAGUAAUGCUGAUCAACCUCCAGUUGACAAUGCUCACUACACUGAAUCUGACCAGACUGACCACUUAGCAGACAGACAAGCUAAUCAUAAAGACCAGCUGUCUUACUAUGAAACACGUGGCCAGUCUGAAGACAGAACAUUUCCCCAGUUAGGCAACAGCAAAGAGGACAAAGAGGCUGACUACAGAGUACAACCCUGCAAAUUUGAGGAUAGCCAAGUAGACCUCAAUUCCAAGCCUUCAGUUGAAAUGGAAACUCAAAAUGCAACCACUAUCCCAGCCUACAACCCAGUUGAUGCCAGAUUCACCAGUAACUUCCAAGCAAAAGACCAAGCCCUUUUCCCAAGACUCCCCUCCAUCUCAUCCAAAUUGAACUAUACCAGCAGUCAAGAAAAAACUCAAGCCAUAGUAACCAAAUCUGAUGAAUUUUCAGAAAUUGAGCAAGGAAAGGGUUAUCAUAUACGCAAUCAAACUUAUAGAAGGUUCCCUUCUAUAGUUUAUGAAGAUCCUUACCAAGUUUCACUCCAAUACAUGGAAAAACACCACAUUCUGCAAAUAUUCCAGAUUACUGAAAACUUAGUCUAUGAAAAGCCAGAGGACCCCCUGAAUUUUAUGCUGUGCCAGGUAUAGAAUUGGAGAAAAAGAACAACCUUUUUAUUCUCUUUAUUGUAAAAUACAGCACACAUACAGCAAAGUGUAUAGAACAAAGUGCAGGAAAUGAUGAAAAAGAGAGACAAAAUGUGAAAUCUACAAAGAACGAGCCUCUCUUCAGUAUUGUUUACAAUCAUGUGUCAAUACUAUGUUCUGUUUUCCAUCUGAAAAAAAAAUGGUUUUGAAUAGACAUUAGUGGUGACUCUA